UGGGGAAUAUUGCACAAUGGGCGGAAGCCUGAUGCAGCGACGCCGCGUGAGGGAUGACGGCCUUCGGGUUGUAAACCUCUUUCAGUAGGGACGAAGCGUAAGUGACGGUACCUGCAGAAGAAGCACCGGCUAACUACGUGCCAGCAGCCGCGGUAAUACGUAGGGUGCGAGCGUUGCCCGGAAUUACUGGGCGUAAAGAGCUCGUAGGCGGUUUGUCACGUCGUCUGUGAAAUCCUAGGGCUUAACCCUGGACGUGCAGGCGAUACGGGCUGACUUGAGUACUACAGGGGAGACUGGAAUUUCUGGUGUAGCGGUGGAAUGCACAGAUAUCAGGAAGAACACCGAUGGCGAAGGCAGGUCUCUGGGUAGUAACUGACGCUGAGGAGCGAAAGCAUGGGUAGCGAACAGG
rnacentral:rRNA from 1 species